rnacentral:rRNA from 1 species
UACGUAGGUGGCAAGCGUUGUCCGGAUUUACUGGGCGUAAAGAGCGCGCAGGCGGUCGUUCAAGUCGCGUGUGAAAGCCCCCGGCUCAACUGGGGAGGUCACGCGAUACUGAUCGACUCGAAGGCAGGAGAGGGAAGUGGAAUUCCCGGUGUAGUGGUGAAAUGCGUAGAUAUCGGGAGGAACACCAGUGGCGAAGGCGACUUCCUGGCCUGUUCUUGACGCUGAGGCGCGAAAGCUAGGGGAGCAAACGGG